rnacentral:misc_RNA from 1 species
AGAGUACCCUUAACGUCAGUGUUUACAUAACUGCUUGAUGCUGUAGUGGGGCCUAACCUCGACAGUCCGAAAUCCGAGACCUUGGCCUCCAAAUCCUCAUCCAACAAUAUAUUGGUAGACUUGAUGUCACGGUGUAUAAUUGAAUGUUUUGUGCCGGUAUGAAGAUAGUGUAAUCCUCGAGCAGCACCAAUGCAAAUCUUGAGCCUUUGAUUCCAUGAUAAUGGUGGAUGGCGUCUCUUGUAGAGAUGAUCACGGAGAGUUCCACCGGCCAUGUAAUCGUAGACUAGAAUGAAUUCAUUGUUCUCUUGGCAGAAGCCGAGUAAGGAAACCAGGUUCAAUUGACGAAAUGUUGAGAGCAAAUCAAUUUCAGUUUGAAACUCCUGUAGCCCUUGGUGGGACUCCGGACUUUUGCGCUUGAUGGCAACUUGGGUAGCUCCGCCGUCUAUCGAACCCUUGUAAACCUUGCCGAAACCACCCACACCAAUCACAAGAACUUCACUGAAAUUUUUGGUGGCCACCCUGACGUCUGCUAAUGUGAACUCGCGGCAGAGGGAAGAUGAUCUUAGCACUGGCAUAUUUGAUUUCCUGUGGUCACGGGAUAUUGGGUGCAGUUGUGAGACUUCGAAACAGGAAGAAUUCCUUUUUGUCCACUGGUAUACAGCUAAACAAGAUACAAAGAUUCCACCAAGGCAACCUAAAACGGCUUCAAGGACGACACUGACUCGAAUCUUCUUUCUUUUUCCGAAUCUUGGUUCAAAAUAUGGAGCAAGAUUGUUAUUCUCAUCGCUAAGUUUCAUGAUCUCAACUCCAUUUAGUAUUGCAUUCUCAAAUUUGGGACUUGAUUCUGGGUUUGGAUGCAGGGCUAGCCACAGUUUCUGCUUCCCUCCUAUCCCUUCUGGAACCACAAUGGUGUAGUCUCUAUAAAUUGCCACAAGUGGUGCUCCUGCCAAAGCAAUUACAUCCAAACUGUCCUCUACCGUCUGGUUGUUAAUAUAAACAGUGAACACUCUCUGAUUCACCCCUGUUACCUCAUGUGAAAUCUCACAAAGAUGAAGCCUAACAAGAUAUUUGAAACCAGAAUCUACAAGAAAUGUCCAAGUCAGGUUGUAGCUCAUGUUAAUAGCAUCAUCGCUGCCCAUCGUCCGGGCUGAAUCAUAUAGAUAUAUGGGAGCGGCGUAGUCCCCCAUGUUCCAAGGUUCCCCAGUGAUUUCAUCAUCCGUAAAAAUGACAGUGCCGCUCAUAGAUCCCAUUAUAUAGCUGGAGUCAUCUAGCCACUCCCAGAGGUCAUCAGAAAAAGCGUCGUGACGCCCCACUUUGACUCUAUGAAGCAUCUCAAAGGCUGGCUCAUGGUGAAGAGAUAUCUGAUUAUAAGUAUAAUUGUAGAAAUUGGCUGGAAAGUUGUAAAUUUCUAUACCAUUGACAAAGGCAUAAGCUCCUGAUGAUGGGAUAAAAGUGAUAUUCAAUAGGUUCUAAGUUAAUAACAAAAUCUUUAGUGAAGUAAACUAAUUCCAAAGUAUCUGCCAUAACAGAAGGGCUAAAAUUGUUUAGCAGAGUGUAACGACCCGAGACCACAGAGAAAUCAGCGUCGGUGAUGCUUUUUAGGGUGGCGUAGGAAGCCGGAUAGAAGUGAAGGCGGAUGAAUUUGAAACCAGGGGAAAGAGGAAAAGCAUAGGUGAAAUUAAAACGAGAGACGCGUGCAGUAGAGUAUGGAAUCUUGGGAACUUCACCAUUAAUCAGUGUUAAUGGUACAGAAAUCGAACUUCUCUGAUAAUCGGCAGGCAAGAAGCUGGAGCCUACAUCACCAGUCCAGUUUUUUCCAUUAAAUGAAAAGGACCCAGCAGAUCCGCAGUUGAGAACAAUUUUAUCCAAGGAAGAAGAAGAGUUGUUGGAUGCACAGCUUAUGGAUUCAAAAGCAGCGCACAAGUAUAGAAGGGUGAAGAUAGAGAAACUCCGAGGAUUCAUUGAAGAAGUCCGGUACAUCAGGCUAAGUAUGUUAAAGACAGUAUUAAAGGCAAGUGUUGGAAUGCAAGAUAUAGAGAAGCAGAUUGUUUGCUAAUCAGAAACACAAAAU